UAUGAGGAAUCUGUUGUCAGAAACCUUCCGUUCUUCAUGAGGAAUCUGUUGUCAGAAAACCUAUCCUCAUGGUUUUCAGUUCCUCUUUUAUCCUCCUUGUUCUCCUGCCUACGUGACAAGGAUGGGCCUCGAGCAAGAGUCAUUGAGUACCUCCUGAGAUGGCCAUCAUCCGGAGAUAAGCCCACACAAAGGAGCGCUUCACAGCUAUUCAGCUGCAGUUCAUCUCGCUCUCGUCGCCCCUGGCCUUGUCCAUCAGCGUUCCCCCAGACAAAGGAUCUCACAACCUUUGCCCAGGACUUGCCUGAACUUGUUCAUCUGUGUCCUUCAAACAAAGGAUUUCACAAUCCUUGCUCCGGACUUGAACAAGUCCAUCUGUGUCCCCAGCAAGCUUUGAGACACAGAAGUUAACAGUAUAGUCUCUUACAACAGGUGACUUGAAUCUCCUCAGUUCAUCAGAACUCACCGAACCUGUGGGCUGAAACCACUGGUAUUUAUUUAAGCAAGUGCAGCUGUUUCUUGGGUUAACUAGGUAAAGGAGCAGGAAGGGGAUGUGCCCAGGAGCUGGGAAGUACUUGGAUGAAAGGUUCAGAAGUAAAUUACCACAAAAAUGCAGAUGGAACCUGUAAUACUUGCCUCCACAUCAUUCAUCCAGUGGUUUGGGAGCUGCAGAUCAGCAUGUGAAAGACAGCAGUUAAAAUACAGGUUGUGAGGCGCCAGGGCAAUGCAAGCAGUGGCACUCAGCUCGUUCCUGGAGAAUACUGCCUGCAGUGUCACGUGCUGCUGGAAAGGAACUUUGCAGAAGUACAGU